ACGAAUUGUGCGAACGUUAUUCGGAAUCACUGGGCUUAAAGGGUGCGUAGGCGGUCAUGAAGGUCUGAUGUGAAAUCCCACGGCUCAACCGUGGAACUGCGUUGGAAACCACAUGACUGGAGUAGGACAGAGGUGAGCGGAACAGAUGGUGGAGCGGUGAAAUGCGUUGAUAUCAUCUGGAACACCGGUGGCGAAAGCGGCUCACUGGGUCCUAACUGACGCUGAGGCACGAAAGCCAGGGGAGCAAACGGG
rnacentral:rRNA from 1 species